GCGCAACUGGAUUUAGCUCAGUUGGGAGAGCAUGAGAAUCUUGAUCUCAGGGUUGUGGGUUCAAGCUCCACGUUGGGUG